UACGGAGGGUGCGAGCGUUGUCCGGAAUCAUUGGGCGUAAAGGGCGCGUAGGUGGCCCGGUCAGUCUUUGGUGAAAGCGCGGGGCUCAACCCUGCGUCGGCCAGGGAUACUGCCGCGGCUCGAGCACUUGUAGAGGCAGGCGGAAUUCCGGGUGGUAGCGGUGGAAUGCGUAGAGAUCCGGAAGAACACCGGUGGCGAAGGCGGCCUGCUGGGCCAG
rnacentral:rRNA from 1 species